rnacentral:rRNA from 1 species
UACGUAGGGUGCAAGCGUGUCCGGAAUUAUUGGGCGUAAAGAGCUUGUAGGCGGUUUGUCGCGUCUGCUGUGAAAUUUCGGGGCUCAACCCCGAAACUUGCAGUGGGUACGGGCAGACUAGAGUGUGGAGGGGAGACUGGAAUUCCUGGUGUAGCGGUGAAAUGCGCAGAUAUCAGGAGGAACACCGAUGGCGAAGGCAGGUCUCUGGGCCAUAACUGACGCUGAGAAGCGAAAGGCAUGGGGGAGCGAACAGG